UUCGCGAAGCACCCCAGCAUUUUUCAAACACAUGAUGAAAAACCAGUCAAGUCGUCAAAUGAUAAACAGCUAAAGUUCACUGCUUGGGGAAAAGACAUGUGUGAGUGUGUGUGUGUGUGUGUGUGUGUGUGUGUGUGUAGAGAGAGUGUGGGGAGAGAGAGAGAGAGAGAGAGAGAGAGAGAGAGAGAGAGAGAGAAUGGAAAGACAAAGAGUGUGUGGAAAGACAGAGAGUGUGUGUGUGCAUGUGUGUGGAGAGAAAGUGUGUGGAGAGAGAGAGAGAGUGUGUGGAGUGUGUGUGUGUGUGUGUGUGGGAAAGAGAGAGAGAGAGAGAGA